GUCAGUGACAAUUCCACCUUGACAAUGCUCAAUUUUCUGUAAUGUGGAAAGCUAAGCAGGGUUGAGCCUUGUUAGUUCUUGGAUGGGAGACUGCUGGGAAUACCAAGUGCCACAGUGG
rnacentral:rRNA from 1 species